UACGUAGGUGGCAAGCGUUGUCCGGAAUUACUGGGCGUAAAGCGUGCGCAGGCGGUUAUGUAAGACAGGUGUGAAAUCCCCGGGCUUAACCUGGGAACUGCAUUUGUGACUGCAUAGCUAGAGUACGGUAGAGGGGGAUGGAAUUCCGCGUGUAGCAGUGAAAUGCGUAGAUAUGCGGAGGAACACCGAUGGCGAAGGCAAUCCCCUGGACCUGUACUGACGCUCAUGCACGAAAGCGUGGGGAGCAAACAGG
rnacentral:rRNA from 1 species